AUUGAACGCUGGCGGCAGGCCUAACACAUGCAAGUCGGGCGUGCGGCGGGGGGGUGAGAAGUGUAUGAGGAUGUGCCUGGUGGAGGGGGAAAACUUCUGGAAGCGGUAGCUAAUCCCGUAUACUAUGAGAUGCCCCCAUAUGGGAUUAGCUUGUAGGUAAGGUAACGGCUUACCUAGGCGACGAUCCCUAGCUGGUCUGAGGGGAUGAUCAGCCACACUGGGACUGAGACACGGCCCAGACUCCUACGGGAGGCAGCAGUGGGGAAUAUUGCACAAUGGGCGCAAGCCUGAUGCAGCCAUGCCGCGUGUAUGAAGAAGGCCUUCGGGUUGUAAAGUACUUUCAGUCGGGAGGCGUUACCGGCAGAAGAAGCACCGGCUAACUCCGUGCCAGCAGCCGCGGUAAUAC
rnacentral:rRNA from 1 species